UUUUAGCCCCGAUAGGAACGGUAUCCUUUUUCUGGCUUCUUUAGACAGAAAAAGAUAUAGUGGAUAGCGGGACAGAAG
rnacentral:sRNA from 1 species